GGCGUGCCUAAUACAUGCAAGUCGAACGAACUCUGGUAUUGAUUGGUGCUUGCAUCAUGAUUUACAUUUGAGUGAGUGGCGAACUGGUGAGUAACACGUGGGAAACCUGCCCAGAAGCGGGGGAUAACACCUGGAAACAGAUGCUAAUACCGCAUAACAACUUGGACCGCAUGGUCCGAGUUUGAAAGAUGGCUUCGGCUAUCACUUUUGGAUGGUCCCGCGGCGUAUUAGCUAGAUGGUGGGGUAACGGCUCACCAUGGCAAUGAUACGUAGCCGACCUGAGAGGGUAAUCGGCCACAUUGGGACUGAGACACGGCCCAAACUCCUACGGGAGGCAGCAGUAGGGAAUCUUCCACAAUGGACGAAAGUCUGAUGGAGCAACGCCGCGUGAGUGAAGAAGGGUUUCGGCUCGUAAAACUCUGUUGUUAAAGAAGAACAUAUCUGAGAGUAACUGUUCAGGUAUUGACGGUAUUUAACCAGAAAGCCACGGCUAACUACGUGCCAGCAGCCGCGGUAAUACGUAGGUGGCAAGCGUUGUCCGGAUUUAUUGGGCGUAAAGCGAGCGCAGGCGGUUUUUUAAGUCUGAUGUGAAAGCCUUCGGCUCAACCGAAGAAGUGCAUCGGAAACUGGGAAACUUGAGUGCAGAAGAGGACAGUGGAACUCCAUGUGUAGCGGUGAAAUGCGUAGAUAUAUGGAAGAACACCAGUGGCGAAGGCGGCUGUCUGGUCUGUAACUGACGCUGAGGCUCGAAAGUAUGGGUAGCAAACAGGAUUAGAUACCCUGGUAGUCCAUACCGUAAACGAUGAAUGCUAAGUGUUGGAGGGUUUCCGCCCUUCAGUGCUGCAGCUAACGCAUUAAGCAUUCCGCCUGGGGAGUACGGCCGCAAGGCUGAAACUCAAAGGAAUUGACGGGGGCCCGCACAAGCGGUGGAGCAUGUGGUUUAAUUCGAAGCUACGCGAAGAACCUUACCAGGUCUUGACAUACUAUGCAAAUCUAAGAGAUUAGACGUUCCCUUCGGGGACAUGGAUACAGGUGGUGCAUGGUUGUCGUCAGCUCGUGUCGUGAGAUGUUGGGUUAAGUCCCGCAACGAGCGCAACCCUUAUUAUCAGUUGCCAGCAUUAAGUUGGGCACUCUGGUGAGACUGCCGGUGACAAACCGGAGGAAGGUGGGGAUGACGUCAAAUCAUCAUGCCCCUUAUGACCUGGGCUACACACGUGCUACAAUGGAUGGUACAACGAGUUGCGAACUCGCGAGAGUAAGCUAAUCUCUUAAAGCCAUUCUCAGUUCGGAUUGUAGGCUGCAACUCGCCUACAUGAAGUCGGAAUCGCUAGUAAUCGCGGAUCAGCAUGCCGCGGUGAAUACGUUCCCGGGCCUUGUACACACCGCCCGUCACACCAUGAGAGUUUGUAACACCCAAAGUCGGUGGGGUAACCUUUUAGGAACCAGCCGC
rnacentral:rRNA from 2 species